GCCAGAAUCCCUCGCCCACUUCUUCAUUUGCUUGGGCCAGGAUCACCCCAGAGGCAGUCCUGUGUAUGAAGGAGACCACUGUGGGUGCCACAGCUCCAAUGCUCCCUGUCCCAGGCACCCUGCCCACCCUGGGAACAGCAUCUUCCAGCCCGUGUGCACAGGGGUGGGAUGCUUGUAGAAUGUUUGUUUCAUAGGACAGGGUAUAUCUGUUUUUUAGAACUGGAUGCUUCUCAAGUGCUGUUAAGAGACUGCAACUUGUGGUGCUCGGAACCGUUGGCCGUUGUUAUGUAGGCACACAUUUCUCCUUGGUUGGUUUGACUUCCCAGCUGGGCAUUCAGGCUGGGUGUUACAUCACUUUCUUUUGCUAUGAGUCAUAGCUCUGAGAGACCAUGGCUGUGUCUACUGAAAAUGGAAGCCUGAAACGUUUGCGGAAGAAUAGAGGAAACCAAAAUAGUGCGAAAGGGCUGACGAUCACAAAUACAGACAGCAACAGCAAAAGCACCGAGGUGGAGUUUCUCAGCUGCAGAGAUAACAUAGCCCAGGGCUCCUUUGGGAUCUGUCUCUGGGAAUCAGCAUGGUUUGGGUGCAUCAUUUAGGGGGAAAAGCAGGAAGCAAGCUGAAUCAAGAGCAACAGUGUUAGAAUCCAUGAUGGGAUGUUCUAGCUGCUCUCUUUCGCUAUGGGAAAGCAAGGUUUAGAGAUGCCGACACCAGCAUACUCUUAAUUCUGAGGUAUUUUCUAUAGCUAUUUUUUGGUACCCAAAGGCGCAGUAAGGGUGCUCAGGGACAGACGUGAGCACUGAGCCAGCUCCACCACUCAGGCUGUGGCUGUUGGGCUGCAGCUGGCUGACCCAGGGGACAUGUUUUCAGUGGGCAUGUGAGCCAGCAGCUCUGCUUCUGUGAGCCUGCGUGUGAAGAGGAGUUCCUCCCUCGUGGGAAAUACUGACGAGAUGGUAAUUGUUUUGGUGGUUUUGCUGCAGAGCCUUCUGAAAACCCAGAUGCAGAGCAGUGGUGCUGGUAGCUCGGCCUACAGACUUGCCAUGUGUUUGAUGCAGCUGUGCUCAGAGAGGAAACUUCAGGAGCCAAGGAGUGUGAUUUCUCAAUAACCUGAUGGGCAGCAGUGCUGCUCUGCCAGCUGCUGACCCAGCACCAUGAGGAUACUCAGAUCCCCUGGAUAUUCUUCUUACUAGAAUAAAGCUACCUGGAACUACUGCUUGGUUCCGGAGGUAAGUGCUGCACUGCCCUUCCAUUCUACUUUUCCAUAUUUGCUACCUAUUACAGUGUUAAUCAUUGGGAUCCCUCUCUUUUCAGUUUCCUUUCCCUGAAACGCGGUGGUCAGACUUCCCAGACCGUGCAUUCUUUGUUGACCAGGAAUUUCUAAAUGCCAAAACAGAGCCAAAUGGAAAUGCUUUGCAGGGGGUUUUGUUACCGCGAGCCAUAGAAACAUUCAAUCAGGAAAAUAAGUCUCUCUUUUGAUUUCAGUCACCAUUUUGGGGCAUGCAUUUUAGGUCAGACAUUAUUUUUGACACAUACAAGACAACAAUUGGACAAACACACCAUUUUUUGGCUAGUAUUUCAUUUAAAAAAAAAAUUGAGGAAGACAGGUAUGUUUCAAUACAUGUGUAGCUCAGAUCUGUGCAAUUGAACUGCUUUUUUGCUUAGGGAAAAUAAUGUAAUUUAGUAACCUUGCUUGUUGCAUAGAGAAGAGCGGUUAUGCUUCUUCAUCAAACUGAAACAUCCCAUUACACGGAUUUCAGAUGAUUUCUCAUGCUAUUUUUUCAGGUUUCACUUUUUUUUUUUUUUUUCCUCCUUUAAAAGGAACUUGAAGCAACUCUCUGCUCAGCUCCCGCUGGUGAAAAAGCAGCCCUAUCCACUGCUCACUGUGAUGGGAAGAGAAGAAGUUGACAGCAACCUUUGGGCAUUCUGCUUCCUCCUCUUUCCCCAUCAGACCUUCCCUUUUGUAGUACAUCUGGAGGGCCACGAACAGCCUUGACAACAUCCCCAGAGGUCUCCUGCUUUCAAAAUGCCACGCGUUGAGCCUAUAUUGUAGUGAGCUGAGAUACUAACUUCAUGUGAGAUGAACUUCACGUGUGUUAACCUGAUGAGCUAGGUCUUGCCAGUGCUGUGAAUAGGUCUGGCUGUAGAAAACGCUUCUGGAGUGAGCAAAAAUUGCUCAUAUUCAGCUAAAUAUUCUGAAAACAGAAAGGCCUGCAGAGGAAGUGAACCUAGCAGCUAUCCAUAUAUUACUCAAACAUGACCACAUGCAUUCCGCUCUGUUUCUCAGCAAACCCCUCUGAAAAGGCUGUGCAUACGUCUUACUUCACAUGCAAGCGUUGACCUUUCCCAAUGAUGUCAGAGGAGAGCAAGCCAUAGGCCUGUUACAGAGCCCUGUGUCUCAUAUGCUUGUCCCAGCCACUGGGUGCUUUGUGAUGGACAUGCAGGGAUCGCAUACAUUUUCUACAGAAAGAGAGACCUGUCACCAUGGUGCUGGGCUCAGAGAGCUGCAGAGCAAGAGCUUCACCGAGCUGUAUGGCUGAAUUGUUCCCUUCUUCAUUGUCCAUUUAAAAAAAUCUAAAUGGAAGAUGGGAAGCUGCCUGCUUGAGGUUUGUGUAUGAAUAAUUAUAGGUACCUGCACUAGCAAGGGACUUUGUGAAAGACGAGAAAAUAGUUGGGCCUCUUCAGGGAAUGUGUGGCAAGCAGGUCAUUUAAAAAUAACUUUUGGAGGCUCUGGGAAGUGGGUGAAAUGAAGUAACAAACAGCUUCUGAAAAAACAGCCGACAAGGGAGCGUUUCAUCUGAUAUCACAGACUGCUAGUUUUCAUUCUGAUCCUGUUGUUGUCUUCUUUAUAUAGCUCAUAGAGUGCCCUUAAGUUGUCUCCAAAGGAUAUUAAUUUUCCACUGGCAUCAGAAAGGCUGCAAUGAUACUUGCACCAAGGUAAGCGACCCCCUCAAGGUUUCUGCACCCACAGCUCCGGACUGGCUGGAAACACAGGCAAUUAAUAAAUCAGAAAAUGAGUGCCUCUCGGCCCUCCUUGCUCCAGGGAAGCCAACAGGAGCUUUGUCAGUAGGAGCAGAACAAGACCACAGAGUGUGCCCCAUAAAGGAUGUGCAUGUGGAAAAGCUCUGCCGUCUAGAACGAAUGCCAGCUCUUAAGAGUUCUGAUCAAAGUCUGAAGUGGACUGAAGCAGAAAACACUGAACAAGAGCUGGGAUCCACCACAGAUGGGGGUGGCUUCGGCCACUACGGGAGGACUGCCACAGCCACGUGGUGAUGCUGAGAGACUUCCCAGCAAGCAGAGAACAUGCUGGUUCUUGCUCUGGGGUAUGGAAGGCCAUCUCAGUCGAUCAUGCCAAAGACAUCAGGACUUAUUCCUUGUGAAGCCUGGGUGGUAACUGGUAAUGAAGACCGUAACAGCCACAAUCUGUGGUAUGCUUUAAUCUACACAAAAUCUGGGAGCAUAAACAUCACUGAGCAUGCUGGGAUAGGGACUGAGAGUCACGUGCUGAAAGCCAGGCUGUUUCCCAGGGUCCUCUUACAGUUUUCAUGCUGGUUGGAAGUAGAUCAUGAGGUUGAUGGCACUUGUCAUCAUUACUUUACCCUCCUUUUUUGUGUUUGUGCAGAGAACCAUUUGCAAUGUGAAACAGUGCAGGACAUUGCCAAACAAAGCCAACCAAACACCCUGGGUAUGCUGCUUGGAUGAAAGAGCUCUUUAGAAGAUGGACAAAUGGACGCAGGGGACAAAAGAAAGAAUGAAGGCCUUGACAGAAUGCAAGCGAUGAGUAAUGACUUUGCUUUCUUCCAUUCCAGCUGCCACACAGGCACAUAUGUGAGUCCCUGGCCCUGCAAACUGGAACACUUUAACCUUUUCUUGUGUUCCGUGCCUGUCCUGUCACCUACUGUUGUUGCAGCCAGUGCACUCUUUAGCCAGGUCUGCUUCUCUCAGUAGCUUGGGCAAUUGUAUUUACAGGAAGCAAGAAAAUACACUGAUAAACAGCAGUGUGUGUCUGGGGAUAAUGUCAGCAUUUCAGCCAGAGCCUUGCUAUUCCCUUGGUGUUAUCACUGAUGGAUCCUCUGCCCUUCCUUACAUGUGGGCUUGAGGAGGUGGUUGUUUUGGCUGGAAUUAGAGAGGCACAGGUGGUAUCACCAGCUGUAAAUUGGAGGAGGCACUUCCUGAUUAUGACCACUGCCUACACAUAAAUCACUGCCAAGAGAGGAGCUGGGAAGCGUAGAAGCCUUCUCCUUACUUGGAAAGAGGGCCUCGAGUAUAGUCAUAAUUCCCCUCAUCUUUUUUUUUUUUUUUUCCAUCUAUAGGUUUUGGGGUUCUCAGUGUGCUCUUGGCUUCCCAAAAUGCUGUGACAUGGAAAACCCUCAGCUGAGUUGGACAGAUAGAUAAACCAAGGCAUCGAGUACUUACGCAUCUAACGCUUGGGCACUCAAAUCCUCAUAAAGGAACUGGGAGCUCAGGAGACGCACAUGCAGGAGGCAUUUGAGAGCCAGGACUUCAGCAAAGAUUCAGGUAUUUGCUCAACCACAGCAAAAUGUCAUCCCCUUCAAGUGGUGAAUGAGCCCUUGAUCUCUGCAAGGUCAAGAUUUUUGCCUUCUGGCUUUAGGUGCUAGUGGUGAGAGACCUGUCCAAAGGUGCUGUUUUCUAGUGCUGUUGUCUAGUGCUCAUUUCUCUACCUAUUCACCUGUACACGUGAAGACCUCUGCUGCUGGCCCUUGUCUGCAGGAAGCUUGGUGUGUUGAGUCUCCUCAUCAACCCAUCUGUUGGGGUGACCGUUCAGCCCCUUGCUGGCUCACAGUCUUGCUUUUGGGAUAUUUCUUCCCUUUUACUCUGGAGCAUCUUAAAUGUGGGUCCACUGAAUGUACAGAUUGAGAGCAGGGAAUGAAGGAGACGUGUUGCAGAAUCAACCCACCGACGUGUGCUGCUCACCCACGCACAUGGGGAGAGGGAAAGAUUAAAAGAUUAAAGUUACAAACUGGAAAGCGCCCCAGGCUACCACGGAGAUCCGAGUGACUGCCUGCGAAGCCAAACUCCCACUCUGGAGGUGCCGCUCCACGCUCGCUGUCACUCACUCCACACUUGCUUUCUCCUGCCAUCCCUUCCUGCUACUGCCUUUGCUAUUUUUACAGGCUGAAAAAUUAAGUAAUCAUCUGUUUUGGCCACGAAGGAGGGCCCUGGGCAACUCCUGGUUGUCACUGCAGGGCUCGUGGGCGUAGCCUUCUGCUCCAUCGCUGCACUCCUGUACUUCUAGACCUUGAAGACUCCUCCAUCAGCCUUCUGCUUUGCCCCAUCUGCCCAUAUCACGGCCAGGUUUGGUUCGGAUGCGGCUCAGGACUUGCGUGGGAGGGGCAGCAAUUUGCAGCAGUUAGAAUUUCAGUAAUGACAUAGGGAAGUUUGCAAGGCCUUCAGUGCUUUCUCGCCCCUACAGUGAGGUGCGAAUCAAGGCUUGCUCUACCAAGCUUACAAUUAAAUAUGCCCACAGUAUCAUACUCCUUCCUGUCAUUUGUGAAGAUUUUCUCACUUUCUUUUCUUUCCCUUCGUUAGAGCUGGACAAAGUUUUGGGGCUGAAAAGGCACAGAAGUAAAACUAAGGUCUGGGAGCUCCAGAACAGUUAUUAGCGCAGUGCUUGCGUUGGUAGGCAUGAUGCAAAGAAGGCUGUGGAUGCCCCAUCCCUGGAGGCAUUCUAGGCCGGGCUGGAUGUGGCUCUGGGCAGCCUGGUCUGGUGGUUGGUGACCCUGCACAUAGCAGGGGGAUUGAAACUCGAUGGUCAUUGUGGUCCUUUUCAAGCCGGGCCAUUCUAUGAUAUGAUAUUUUUGUUUGACUGUAGCAGUUAAUCUGAGCCAAAACGAUGAUUUCAUUUAAUUCUUGGAGUAUUGAGCUCUAGAAAUGUUUCUUUUCCAAUUUGCUUUCUGUUACUGUAUUUGAGUUUGGGGGCACUUUUUGUCAGAAACAAGCUGUUUCAAAGAAUAAAAACGGUUUGGCUCUGCUGCUUUGAGUAUGUUGAAAUGGUGUAUUUUGACAUCUCAGAAGUUCCUCCUCCUCCCUGUGCUUUUCAGAUGAAGGUAUUCCUCAGACUCAGGCUGUACUUGUGAAUGUGUUCAGUCCCCUUAGGGUUCCAUAUUUAAUCUGGUCUCCCAGCUAUCAGCUAUGCUGCCUGGCUCUGCUGUUGUGUGGAGGUGACAAAGGAGCACUGGGACCUUCUCGGUCCUGCAAGAAAUGGUGCUCAUUGCACGUGAGAUGGUGGGACAGCCAACUCCUAGCUUGGCUUUCCUGCUGAGGACAGUGGGAACCCUGCAGAUCAGGACACGUUCGGGUGAUUCGCACCUGCCCUUAGAUACCAGCAUUUCUUCUGGC
rnacentral:lncRNA from 1 species